rnacentral:tRNA from 1 species
AAUUAAUGAACUUGUAUAAGUAUAUGACUUGAAAUCAUAAAAAAGAAGUAUAAUCUUCUAUUAAUUU